AGCUCCAAUAGCGUAUAUUUAAGUUGUUGCAGUUAAAAAGCUCGUAGUUGGAUUUUGGGUUAGGGUGUCCGGUCCGCCGUUUCGGUGUGCACUGGGCGCUCUUUCCUUUCUGCCGGGGACCGUUGGGUGUCUUAAUUGCCAUCCCUCGGGAGUCGGCGUUGUUACUUUGAAAAAAUUAGAGUGUUCAAAGCAAGCCAUCGCUCUGAAUACAUUAGCAUGGAAUAACAUGAUAGGACUCCGCUCUUAUUUUGUUGGUUUCCGAGACUGGAGUAAUGAUUAAGAGGGACAGUCGGGGGCAUCCGUAUUUCAUUGUCAGAGGUGAAAUUCUUGGAUUUAUGAAAGACGAACUUCUGCGAAAGCAUUUGCCAAGGAUGUUUUCA
rnacentral:rRNA from 1 species